rnacentral:snoRNA from 1 species
AAGACUAUACUUUCAGAGAUCAUUUCUAUGGUAUGUUACUAGAGAAGUUUCUCUGAUGAUGUAGAGUACUGGAAACUCACUCCAGU